UCACUUACCUGGACGGGGUCUAUGGAUGAUCAUCAAGGUCCAUGGCCUAGGUUGGUGACCUCCAUUGCACUUUGUGAAGGGGCACUUGCCUAAGGUUGGCUCAAAUGGUCAAGCUUACGUCAUAAUUUGUUGUUGGGGCAUGCGUUCGCGCAGCCCCUCU